GGAGCGGUGUCCGAGUGGUUUAAGGAGGCGGUCUUGAAAACCGUUGUGCCGCAAGGUACCGGGGGUUCGAAUCCCCCCUGCUCCG
rnacentral:tRNA from 1 species